rnacentral:misc_RNA from 1 species
AGGCGUUGUCUUAGAGAAAAAAAAAAUUAAAAAAAAUAGAACGGGUUGAGUAUCCCUUUUGAAAUUUUUAUCAUCGUUUCUAGAUAGUAAUAUAAAGGUUUCUACGAAGUUACAACAAAAUGUAGUGUCCACGAGCAGAGAUAUAGACAUUUAAAGAAGUAGUAUAUAGGCAUUGUCUUAAAGAAAAAAAAAAUAGAAGGGAUUGAGUAUCCCUUUUGAAAUUUUUAUCAUCGUUUCUAGAUAGUAAUAUAAAGGUUUCUGCAAAGUUACAACAAAAUGCAGUGUCUAUGAGCCGAGAUAUGAUAACUUUAAUAAAUUUUAUUUAAUCGUCUGCUUAGAAAAAAUCCCAA